rnacentral:rRNA from 1 species
GUAGGGUGCAAGCGUUAAUCGGAAUUACUGGGCGUAAAGCGUGCGCAGGCGGUUGUGCAAGACAGGUGUGAAAUCCCCGGGCUUAACCUGGGAACUGCACUUGUGACUGCACGGCUGGAGUACGGCAGAGGGGGAUGGAAUUCCGCGUGUAGCAGUGAAAUGCGUAGAUAUGCGGAGGAACACCGAUGGCGAAGGCAGUCCCCUGGGCCUGUACUGACGCUCAUGCACGAAAGCGUGGGGAGCAAACAGGAUUAGAUACCCUGGUAGUCCACGCCCUAAACGAUGUCAACUGGUUGUUGGGAAGGUUUCUUCUCAGUAACGUAGCUAACGCGUGAAGUUGACCGCCUGGGGAGUACGGCCGCAAGGUUGAA